CCUACGGGAGGCAGCAGUGAGGAAUAUUGGUCAAUGGGCUUACGCCUGAACCAGCCAAGUCGCGUGAGGGAAGACUGCCCUAUGGGUUGUAAACCUCUUUUGUCAGGGAGCAACGCCGGCUACGUGUAGCCGGACUGAGAGUACCUGAAGAAAAAGCAUCGGCUAACUCCGUGCCAGCAGACGCGGUAAUCCGGAGGAUGCGAGCGUUAUCCGGAUUUAUUGGGUUUAAAGGGUGCGUAGGCGGAAUGCCAAGUCAGCGGUAAAAUCGCGGGGCUCAACCUCGCUCCGCCGUUGAAACUGGCGUGCUUGAGUGGGCGAGAAGUAUGCGGAAUGCGUGGUGUAGCGGUGAAAUGCAUAGAUAUCACGCAGAACUCCGAUUGCGAAGGCAGCAUACCGGCGCCCAACUGACGCUGAAGCACGAAAGCGUGGGUAUCGAACAGGAUUAGAUACCCCUGUAGUC
rnacentral:rRNA from 1 species